ACACUUGUGCAGUUUUGUUAGAACAACUUUACUCUCUCUCCAUUUCUUCGAACGGUAGUUGUUUUUUUUUCUGUUUCUCACAGUAAAUCUUUCACAAAGAUUUUUGAUGGAGCUCCCAGACGACAUCACAUAAGACAUCUUAACUAGUUUUGCCCUCCGAAUCAGUUUAGAAUCCCAAAUUGGAGAGAUCAUCAUCCAUCCAUCCAUCCAUCCUUCUCUCAAAACCAUCUCUAUUCUUCAGCAAAUGAUUCAGUUUAGAGAUCAAAGACUUGUUCUGAAGAUCUUAGUCGGCACCAAUACACGUACGUAUAAAGGAAGGAAAAUCACUUUGCAGUAUGUACAGUAAGAAUUCCAUGAGGCAUUUCCUAAUAAAAGGCGGAAAAUACCAAUGGGAGGUGAAUAUAUGUACAGAUCUAUUGGUUGAGGAUGUUAAGAAGUGAAACUCGGUUCUUGAUCAGACACCUAAAGACAGAUUCUACUCCAUCUUCAAGUUCUUGAAGGUUCAUUUCAAGGGCAGCCAAUGACUUCUGCACUUCUUUUGCUUCAAUGACUUUGGAUUUCAAUGCGACAUCGACCUUGGUUACUUCAUUGACAACUUGUUGGGUUGCGCUUUGGGUGGUCAACUUUGAGACUAGUGACCUUUGCUUUGGUGCAGAUAGGAAAGACAAGAUAGAUUCAAAAACUGCAAGAGUAGUUGCUUCAACUUCUGUUAGGACAUCAGUAACGAGGUCAUUAUUUUUGUUGGUGUUUUUCUUAAGAUCUGAAAGGCAUUUUUGGAUGACUUUGCAGACUUUCUUUCUUGAGGUCAUGUAUGCGUCAAACUCAUUUGAUUUCCUUCGGAUAGAUGAUUGAAGAUCUUGAGCAGAUUGCUUCAUUUGAGAUGAAACAUCCUUAAUAGUUCCACAGACAUCCAACAACAUGACAGAUCUGUCCAAGACUGCGUCUAGGCAUUUUCCAUCUUCAAUAGAGAGGAAAUCCUCAACACAUUCAUACAAGUCCUUAAGAGCAACCAAGUUGUUGGAGAUGGAUGAGGUGAGAAGGGGAGAUCUCAAUUUACAUAAUAGUUCCUCAACUGCAGCAGCGAGUGGGUUUGAUCUGGUGGGCAAACUGAUUGAACGAGCAUGAAAAGUUUUGUUUGAGGAAGACAUUUUUGCCUUAUUUUGAAGAGGAAGAAGUCAGGACUCGGGCUACAAUGUGCAGCAAUGGGACGUAAUCAUGUGGUGGAUGUGGUGGAACUUCCUCUAUACGCGCCAUUAUCUCUGCAUUGUUUCCUCCAUCAAUGACAAAUACGAUUUGUACUUUAAGAUUGGUUACCAGCAACCAGUGCCUACAACAAGAUAGGAAAGGGAAUGCAAAAGGCUUGGGAUUAUUGUAGAAGCAUCUUAUAUAUGCAGGCAGGAUGUAAUCAAGAUGGUUGCAUGUUGCAUUACCUUUGCCUUGGAGGCAAUGCACUUCUAAUUGGACAAAUUUGGAAGAAAUGUGUAGAAGAUUUAGUGUGGCCAACUCCUAUGGGCGCUGCUUAUUUGGAUGCACUCCACAUAAAAAAUCAGUAUGUACAGUAAAAAUUCCAUUAGGCAUUUCCUAAUAAAAGGCGGAAAAUACCAACAGGAGGUGAAAUAUCUAUGGGUCUAUUGGUUUAGGAUGUUAAGAAGUGAAACUCGGUUCUUGAUCAGACACCUAAAGACAGAUUCUAGUCCAUCUUCAAGUUCUUGAAGGUUCAUUUCAAGAGUAGCCAAUGACUUCUGCACUUCUUUUGCUUCAAUGACUUUGGAUUUCAAAGCGGCAUCAAUCUUGGUUACUUCAUUGACAACUUGUUGGAUUGCACUUUUGUUGGUCAACUUUGAGACUAGGGACCUUUGCUUUGGUGCAGAUAGGAAAGACAGGAUAGAUUCAAAAACUGCAAGAGUGGUUGCUUCAACUUCUGUUAUGACAUCGGUAACGAGGUCAUUGUUCUUGUUGGUGUUUUUCUUAAUAUCUGAAAGGUAUUUUUGGAUGACUUUGCAGACUUUCUUUCUUGAGGUCAUGUAUGCGUCAAACUCAAUUGAUUGCCUUCGGAUAGAUGAUUGAAGAUCUUGGGCAGAUUGCUUCAUUGAGAUGAAACAUCCUUAAUAGUUCCACAGACAUCCAACAACAUGACAGAUCUGUCCAAGACACUGCGUCUUGGCAUUUUCCAUCUUCGGUAGAGAGGAAAUCCUCAACACAUUCAUACAAGUCCUUUAGAGCAACCAAGUUGUUGGAGAUGGAUGAGGUGAGAAGUGAAGAUCUCAAUUUGCAGAGUUGUUCCUCAACUGCAGCAGCGAGUGGGUUGGAUCUGGUGGGAAAACUGAUUGAACGAGCAUGGAAAGUUUUGUUUGAAGAAACAUUUUGGCCUUAUUUUAAAGAGGAAGAAGGUAGUAGCUAAUGAAGAAAAUGAUUUUUUUGAUGAUGGCUAUUGGUUCUCCUUUUAUAGUCAGGACUCAGGCUGCAAUGUACAACAAGGAGAUGUAUUCAUGCGGUGGAACUUCCUCUAUAUGCGCCACUGUCUCUGCAUUGUUCCCUCUAUCAAUGACAAAUGGUGUGUCCCCCUACCAGACUGUAUAGUAUCGAUCAACAUUGGGGAAAAAAAGACUAUAAAAAAAAAAGCCUGUAGAUAAUUAAUCAGAUGUGUAAUGUAUGUAGUGCAUGAAUGGAUCAUUACUACCUAUAAACAGACGGUGUAAGGUUAUAUUUGAACUUGACAACAGUAUGCGCGCGCUUGAUCAUCUCUUGGGAACA